rnacentral:rRNA from 1 species
UACGGAAGGCAGCAGUGGGGAAUAUUGCACAAUGGGCGCAAGCCUGAUGCAGCCAUGCCGCGUGUAUGAAGAAGGCCUUCGGGUUGUAAAGUACUUCAGUCGUGAGGAAGGUGUUAAGGUUAAUAACCUUAGCAAUUGACGUUAGCGACAGAAGAAGCACCGGCUAACUCCGUGCCAGCAGCCGCGGUAAUACGGAGGGUGCGAGCGUUAAUCGGAAUUACUGGGCGUAAAGGGCACGCAGGCGGUUAAUUAAGUUGGAUGUGAAAUCCCCGGGCUUAACCUGGGAAUGGCAUUCAAGACUGGUUAGCUAGAGUCUUGUAGAGGGGGUAGAAUUCCAUGUGUAGCGGUGAAAUGCGUAGAGAUGUGGAGGAAUACCGGUGGCGAAGGCGGCCCCUGGACAAAGACUGACGCUCAUGUGCGAAAGCGUGGGGAGCAAACAGGGAUUAGAUACC